rnacentral:rRNA from 1 species
UUUGGUGGCGAUGGCGGAGGGGAACCACGCGUACCCAUCCCGAACACGACCGUUAAGCCCUCCAGCGCCAAUGGUACUUGGACCGCAGGGUCCUGGGAGAGUAGGACGUUGCCAAGC